AGCCAACAUACCUGGCCUGCAACUGGCGCGGUGGGAGGGGGCGGCGGCGCUCCAGGGACCGGGAGGAGGUCCACCUUCAAGAAUGAGCCCAGAUUAUCUUACAGCAGCAGGCCGCCCUGUCCCAACCGGGUCAUUUUGCUGAGGGCUCCAGAGACGGUGGAUGGGAUGAGAAUUGGUCUCUCUCCUUCUCCAGGACCCCCUCGCCUACUACUCUUUGGUGGCAUCAGUCUCUGCGCAGGCCCCUCGGUUGCCUAGCAACCGCAGCCGCCAGCAGGGGCGCGGGGCCGCUUUGGACCUGUAGGGGGCGCCUGCCUCCCUGGGGCCUCAGGCUGGAGCUCUAGCUGUUGAGACUAUGUGCCAAGUGUCAAAGCAUCUCAAGGCCUACCAAUGCUUAUUCCUCAAUCGGAGCCGUUCAGAGGGUCCAGGCUACAGCGGGCUUUCUUCCCGAGCCACUUUUUGGAUGUGGAAAAAUGAGUCUAGCCCUCUUUUUGUCAAUAUUGUCAAACCGCUGAGCACAUAAAAGACUUCAAGCUCCUGGGUUAUCAGCGCAACCUAGACUUGGUCAGAAAAAAAAAAGAUAUUAAUUCAUUUGUUCAGUCAACAAUAAUAACUAACCUUAACGUGUUGUGUACCAGGGAAUGUGUGAAGGUUUUACAUUUAAUCUUCACAAAAACCUUAUGAUUAUUUCCAUUUCACAAGCAAAGAGACUAAAGCUCAGAGCAUUUUCAAGGUCACACGACUAGUGACUGUGUUGGGUCUGUGAGCAACCGUUGUGUGCCAGGUCUAAAAUAUAGAAAAUAAGACACCACUCUCUUUUCACUACCUAAUGAACACCUAAUCACCCUUCAGGACCAAACUAAAAAUGUGAUCUCCUUGGUGAAACAAUUCUGAAGUCCUCCCCCCACAAGAAGAGUUGGUAACUGCUUUUCUGUACAACCCUCUGAAACAGCACUUCUCAUGGGGACUAUAAUGAUCUGCAUCUACACUUCCAUUUCUCUAACUUGGAGCACCUCAGUGACAGGGCUGUUUACAGUAUUUACUGUUCAUCUCUCCAUCUGGGUGUCUGAUAGAUACCUCAAACUCAACAUAUCCCAAUCCACACAUCUGAUCUCUCCCCUCACACCACCCCCCCCCACCCCAGAAUGGCCACUCCUAAGGCUGUCCUCAUCUCAGUCAAUGGCAGUUUCACCUUUCCCAUGGCUCUGGCCAAAAAGCCUUGGAACCACACCUCAUAUCCAUUCUGUCAGCAAAUCCUAGUGACUUUCUCUUCAAAAUGUGGGUUCCUCUGAAACCUUUCAUAAGCUGAAAUGGCAAAAAAGCAAUUACCAUUAAUGUGCAUGGAAAAAUUUUUGAGCCUUCCCAGACCCCAAAAAUAACCUCUCUUAGGCUUUUCUGAUACCUCAGGGCACAUCUUGCUAACGAAUGCACAAAAUAAAUGGAGAUAAAGCACAGAUGCUCACAGAUACAGUUCAAAGCCGUGGUGACUAGAUGCUGAGCUGCUGGGCGCAGUUCCCCAGGAAAGAGCUUGGCCAGGCUGCUCUAGCUGCUUGCUCUUGGUAUUUGCUGCCUCUAUCACUGCUCACUGCAAAGCAAAUGCUGAAUGCUAUUUUCACGUUUUUACUCCUUUUUAAAAAAUAAAAGCAAAAAUCCUC